UUUCCUACGGGACGCAGCAGUGGGGGAUAUUGCACAAUGGGGGGAACCCUGAUGCAGCGACGCCGCGUGGGUGAAGGAGCGUUUCGGCGCGUAAAGCCCUAUCGGCAGGGAAGAAGAUGACGGUACCUGACUAAGAAGCCCCGGCUAACUACGUGCCAGCAGCCGCGGCAAUACGUAGGGGGCAAGCGUUAUCCGGAUUUACUGGGUGUAAAGGGAGCGUAGACGGCAGAGCAAGUCUGGAGUUAAAGCCCGCGGCCCAACUGCGGGACUGCUU
rnacentral:rRNA from 1 species